rnacentral:rRNA from 1 species
AUUGAACGCUGGCGGCAGGCCUAACACAUGCAAGUCGAGCGGAUGACGGGAGCUUGCUCCUUGAUUCAGCGGCGGACGGGUGAGUAAUGCCUAGGAAUCUGCCUGGUAGUGGGGGACAACGUUUCGCAAGGAACGCUAAUACCGCAUACGUCCUACGGGAGAAAGCAGGGCACAUUCGGGCCUUGCGCUAUCAGAUGAGCCUAGGUCGGAUUAGCUAGUAGGUGAGGUAAUGGCUCACCUAGGCGACGAUCCGUAACUGGUCUGAGAGGAUGAUCAGUCACACUGGAACUGAGACACGGUCCAGACUCCUACGGGAGGCAGCAGUGGGGAAUAUUGGACAAUGGGCGAAAGCCUGAUCCAGCCAUGCCGCGUGUGUGAAGAAGGUCUUCGGAUUGUAAAGCACUUUAAGUUGGGAGGAAGGGCAGUAAGCUAAUACCUUGCUGUUUUGACGUUACCGACAGAAUAAGCACCGGCUAACUCUGUGCCAGCCGCCGCGGUAACAC